rnacentral:tRNA from 1 species
GACGGCUUAGCAAAGUGGUUACUGCGAUUGAUUAGAAAUCAAUUCCUCUCUGAGGGCGUAGGUCCGAGUCGUUCAAUUGUAC